rnacentral:lncRNA from 1 species
CAGCGAUAGUUCGCUGCUAAUCAAAUUUGUGUUUUUUAUUUUAAAAAACCGUUUUGUGGCGACGCGAAAUAAAACUGGCGCAGUCGGUAUUAUCCUAAGUAAAGGCUCCAGUGAAAAUAAAUCGGANAAAUAAAUAAAAUUAAAAAAAAAAUAAUAUUACUCCCAAAAUAAUUCUGCGAUUCCGUCUAAGGAUAAAACUUUGACCUCCAGGAUAUGAAGUACAAACAAAAAAUAAUAAAUUAAUUUCAAAUUGUGCAGGGAUCCUUUUUACUGAAUAAUAAACUCCAUAAAAAAAUAUUUUUUGUACAGAGUUAUUAUAUAAAAAUUACACAAUAAAACGNUAUAAAGUGGCAGGCAGUGAUUUGAAUUUCAACACUCACAAUAAACAGCAAAAGUGACAGUACAGUGAANAAAUUAAAAUUUCUACACCCCACAAGCAGCAUAAUUCGGUCAUCAAGACACAAUUCGUUUUACCAGAGAAGGAUGGAACAAGCUCAAACAUGGCAUGACUUCGUGAAGCAGGGUGGUAGAACUUUCGCAUAAUUAUAAAGUAGAUCCGAAUUUCGAAUAAAAUAAAUUUGCGAAUGGAGAUAAAGAAUAGGGCCCCAGCUUACACCAGCAUACCUAGGACUACAAGGAAAAAUUAUAGACGCCAAAAACAGGAGGCGGGACCAAAUAUUAAAAAAUAAGACACAUGCCAAUAUUUACCGAAACAGCGCUCACAGUGAACUCGGUUUUCAAAGGAGUCGAGUAUCUGCUGUCGAUGAUACCAGAGNAAAAAAUGAAAGCACUGCGAACGAUUUGCUGCAGUAACAUACAAGGAGAAGCAAAAAGCAUUGUUAUCAACACACCGAUAAUUAAAGAUAAAUAAAAAUAACAUUAAAAUUGAGGUACAGGAAAGACACCGAGCCAAACCAAAUGUUAUACGGAUAUAAGGAGGAAAGCAAAUCUUCGUGCAAACAAUUGAACACUAUUAGAGAGAUGACACAAGGAACAUUACUUGACAAAAUUUAUUACGAAAAAAUUAAUGAUUUUAAAAAGAUUGCGAUAGAACCAAUUUGUUUUAAAACCAUUACGGGUGAAGACACUAUUAAUUUUGAAGUGUAUACUCAUGCUCCAAGGAAGUUACGAUAUCGAAUGAACAAAUAAAAUCAAAACUUUAUAGAUAUCCAUUUCAACAUGAGGAAGAGGUAAGAAGCAAAUUAGAGAAAUGGAAGAAAAAGGAAUCAUCGAAAAGUUCAUCUUUAAUAGUUGUCCAGAAAAAAAUGGCUAACUCAGGUAUAAAAAAAUUGGCUUGUUGUAGAUUAAAGAAAUUUAAAUGAUGUAACAAUAGAUGACAAAUAUCCAAUAUUGAUUCAAUAUUAGAUAAACUAGGCCGUGCCCAAUAUUUUACAACUAUAGAGUUAACAAAAGGAUAUCACCAAAUUUGUUGAAAAAGGAAGAUAGAGAAAAAACAGCAUUUGUAAUGCCACAUGGUUCAUAUGAAUUUAUUAGAAUGCCAUUCGGGUUAAAGAAAGCAAGAGAUUAUAUCAAUAAAACAUGUGUUGCCUAUAUAGACGAUAUUUUGAUUUUUACCACAUCCUUGAGUGAACAUAUUAUAGCCAUAACAGAUAUUUUCAAAGUCCUUGAAAGUCAAAAUUUAAAAAUUCAAAUAGAUCAAGGUAAUUUUAUGAAAAAGGAAACUGAAUUUUUAGGGCAUAUUUUAACAAAAGAGGAAUGAAAUCGAAUAAAAACAAAAUUAAGGUAAUAAACAAUCUUGAGUCACCACGAACAGAGAAACGAAUCGAAAGGGUACUAUAGAAAAUUUAUUAAAUAUUUUAUAUUGAGGAAGAAAUAGUGAAUAAGUACAAAUUCAAAUAAUAUUAACAAAUAACAAAAUUGAAUUGAGACGGUACAUGAAAAAAUAAUUAUUUUUAUUAUAGGAAAUGAUUUUGAUAUAAUGGCAUAAAUCUUUAGAAGAUAUAUUCAAGAAGGGAAAGUAAGCAUAUCUUCUUAAAUAUCAGAACACAAUUAGAAUAUAGUGCAAACAAAUGAAUAGAAAUGUAUUCAAAUGAUAAUCAAAUCAAAUUCACUAAUGCAAAAUUAUAAUGUUAACNAAGAUAACCAGAAACAGAGAAGAUUAUGAAGAAAAAAGGCAGAAUGAUUUAUGAAGAAUUAUAAAGCUGUGCGGCAUAAGAAGGAACGAAAAUAUGGAAAUUAAUUAUUAAAGCAUAUUCAUAAACAAUAAACAGUUAAAAUUUACAUAUAACAGUAAUACUAAUACUAAUAAUAAUAAGGUGGACACAUAUGAUUAAAGGGACAAUAGUAAUGACUCAACUGAAGGAACAAGGAGGUUAAACGAACUUACAGAUAUAAAUUCAAUAAAAAUUAAUCAGUAGACUCUAAAAAUAAAUUAUUGAUAUUAUUACCCAAGGAAAAUAGAAAAAGACCAGGUUUAAUAAAUGGUUACUUGGAAAUAUGGACGACGAUGACAGUAAGGAAAUANAGUGACGUUUGGUGAAUACCGACAGUUGCAGAUUAAUGACUUUUUUAAUAAUGCAAUAAGAAAUGCUAUUCAAAAUGAUAGAAAAGAAAUCGGAAAGGAAAUAAAUACAAUAAGUUAUUUUGAAAAUUAGUAAUUUCAACAAAAUAUUUAUUUAGAACAUCUAAGUAAAAUACAGUUAGAGGUAAAAUUGAACAUAUUCAAGAAAAUGUUAUAUCAUCUAAAUAUGGCAGUAUACACUCAAAUAUUUUAACUAACAAUGAAAUAAUAAAAUAUGAAAUCGAUUUUAAUAAACCAAGGACCUUCUAUUAGGGACCACCAUUAUUAAAUACUAACUUAAUUUUUGCUAUAAAAAUUCCAAGAAUAUUUUCUACCAAUCAGCUGAGAGAAAUUGUACCACUACUUAACAUCAUAUUUAACGAAACUGAUUAUGAAGUUGAAGAAGUAUUUAAGUAAUAAACAUUUAAGACAAUUAAAGUUAAAUUCACAUUGCAUUAUAAAAGAAAAUUGUAAAGUUAAAGAAAAUAAGAAUUUUGAAACUAUUGUAAUAGA